AUUGCUCUUUUGUGGAGUUUACUGUGAGCCUUCAACAUUGAUGGCUAACAAAAGCCUGGGAUGCUUUCCAUUGAGGGAAUGACAGUAAAUGAACUGAAACUGUGCUGAAGUUCUGGUCCUUAGUGAGCAAGGGAGAUACGCAGAUGGUCUUUGUCAAGGUGCAGUGGAUGCCUACAAUAAAUGGAAAGCAGCUCUACAGAAGAGGCAGCAAUGGCUGCUUGAUCCAACAGUGGAUUCUGUCUGGCCCAGGAGCAGAGCAGGUCAAACAGCUUAUCUCCAUGACUAAUAAACCAGCUGCUGAAUGAAGUGAGGCUCCUAUGGUCAGUGCAGAUGGGGUUGGCACUCUGAAGGAUUUCCCAUAGUCUUCAACCAAGUUCAGCCUGGAAUUUAGGUAAAAAAUGUUCCUCAAUGAGAGCCUGAAUUAUCUUUGAAGUUAGGAAUUAUGAGGUGGGUGUUGUGGACUACCAGAUAAAGUGUGAAUCUUUA